GAAAGUAAACAAGGGCGCAUGGAGGAUGCCUAGGCUCUCGGAGGCGAAGAAGGACGUGAUAAGCUGCGAAAAGUUACGGUAAGGCGCAAAUAGCCCUAGACCCGUAAAUAUCCGAAUGGGGCAACCCGGCCAGCAAUGGUCAUACCGCCAAGCGGUAAGCCAACGCGGGGAACUGAAACAUCUAAGUACCCGCAGGAAAAGAAAAUAACAAUGAUUCCGCCAGUAGUGGCGAGCGAACGCGGAACAGCCCAAACCACUCGUGUUACGGCACGAGUGGGGUAGAAGGAUCCACGCUACGGCAAGAAAUAAGUUAGCAGAAUACGAUGGAAAUCGUAGCCAAAGACGGUGACAGCCCGGUACGCGAAAACGGACAGAAGCCCAGUGGACACCUGAGUAACCCAGGACACGAGAAAUCCGGGGCGAAUCAGCGGGGCCCAUCCCGUAAGGCUAAAUACUCCCGAGAGACCGAUAGCGAACCAGUACUGUGAAGGAAAGGUGAAAAGAACCUCGAACAGAGGAGUGAAACAGACCCUGAAACCAUGCGCCUACAAGCGGUCGGAGCAUGUUAAAAUGUGACGGCGUGCCUUUUGCAUAAUGAACCUACGAGUUACUCUCGCUGGCAAGGUUAAGCGAUUCAGUCGCGCAGCCGAAGCGAAAGCAAGUCCGAACAAGGCGUACAGUCAGCGGGAGUAGACGCGAAACCAAGUGAUCUACCCUUGGUCAGGUUGAAGGUUGGGUAACACCAACUGGAGGACCGCACCGAUAAGCGUUGAAAAGCUUACGGAUGAACUGAGGGUAGGAGUGAAAGGCCAAUCAAACUUGGAGAUAGCUCGUACUCCCCGAAAUGCAUUUAGGUGCAGCCUCGAAGCAGAGUGAUAGAGGUAGAGCGACUGAUAAGAUGCGAGGGCUUCACCGCCUAUCAAGUCUUGACAAACUCCGAAUACUAUCACUUGAUCUUUGGGAGUGAGGGCAUGGGUGCUAAGGUCCAUGUCCGAAAGAGGAACAACUCAGACCACCAGCUAAGGUCCCGAAAUAAGGGCUAAGUUGAAUAAACGAAGUAAAACUGCAAAGACAGCUAGGAUGUUGGCUUGGAAGCAGCCAUUCAUUUAAAGAGUGCGUAACAGCUCACUAGUCGAGGAGUUUUGCAUGGAUAAUAAUCGGGCAUAAGCCCUUUACCGAAGCUGUGGAUGUCGUAAGACAUGGUAGGGGAGCAUUCCGGCGGCGACGAAGGCCGUCCUCGAGGACGACUGGAGCUUUCGGAAAAGCAAAUGUAGGUAUAAGUAACGAUAAAGGGGGCGCGAAACCCCCUCGCCAUAAGACUAAGGAUUCCUGAUCAACGCUAAUCGGAUCAGGGUAAGUCGGGCCCUAAGGCGCAGCCGAACGGCGCAGCCGAUGGAAGAAACGGUAAAGAUUCCGUUACUGGAUAUAGGAGCGAUGUGGAGACGGAGAAGUGACACACCCGCCUGCCGACGGAAGCGCAGGUUAAAGGAAGUAGGUAAACGCCGGGCAGGCAAAUCCGCCUGGCGUGCCGAAGCUGACAGUAUCGAGAGCCCCCGGGCAAUCGAAUAGCGGUGGUAACCAGGCUCCCAAGAAAAUCCGCUAAGCAUAUUCUAUAUCCACCCGUACCCCAAACGGACACACGUAGUCGGGUAGAAUAUACCAAGGCGCUCGAAAGACUCACGGUUAAGGAACUAGGCAAAUUGACCCUGUAACCUCGGGAAAAAGGGUCCCCAGUAAGAUGGGGCGCAGAGAAUAGGUCCAGGCAACUGUUUAACAAAAACACAGGGCUGUGCAAAAUUUGAAGAUGAAGUAUACAGCCUGACACCUGCCCGGUGCCGGAAGGUUAAGAGGAGAGCUUAUCGCAAGAGAAGGCUUGAAUUGAAGCCCCGGUAAACGGCGGCCGUAACUAUAACGGUCCUAAGGUAGCGAAAUUCCUUGUCGGGUAAGUUC
rnacentral:rRNA from 1 species